rnacentral:rRNA from 1 species
GUGUCAGCCGCCGCGGUAAUACGGAGGGCGCAAGCGUUGUUCGGAAUUACUGGGCGUAAAGCGCAUGCAGGUGGCUGAGUAAGUCGAAUGUGAAAGCCCCGGGCUCAACUCGGGAACUGCAUCCGAAACUACUUGGCUAGAGUCCCGGAGGGGAGGGCAGAAUUCCCAAUGUAGGGGUGAAAUCCGUAGAUAUUGGGAGGAAUACCGGUGGCGAAGGCGGCCCUCUGGACGGUGACUGACACUCAGAUGCGAAAGCGUGGGGAGCAAACAGGAUUAGAUACCCUUGUAGUCC